rnacentral:rRNA from 1 species
GACGAACGCUGGCGGCGUGCUUAACACAUGCAAGUCGAACGAUGACGACCGAGCUUGCUCGGUCUGAUUAGUGGCGAACGGGUGAGUAACACGUGAGCAACCUGCCCUUCACUCUGGGAUAACCUCGGGAAAUCGGGGCUAAUACCGGAUAUGAGCUCCUGUCGCAUGGCGGGUGUUGGAAAGUUUUUCGGUGAAGGAUGGGCUCGCGGGCUAUCAGGUUGUUGGUGAGGGAGGGGCUCACCAAGGCGAUGACGGGUAGCCGGCCUGAGAGGGCGACCGGCCACACUGGGACUGAGACACGGCCCAGACUCCUACGGGAGGCAGCAGUGGGGAAUAUUGCACAAUGGGCGAAAGCCUGAUGCAGCGACGCCGCGUGAGGGAUGACGGCCUUCGGGUUGUAAACCUCUUUCAGCAGGGAAGAAGCGAAAGUGACGGUACCUGCAGAAGAAGCGCCGGCUAACUACGUG